rnacentral:rRNA from 1 species
AUUGAACGCUGGCGGCAGGCCUAACACAUGCAAGUCGAACGAGUGGCGGACGGGUGAGUAAUGUCUGGGAAACUGCCCGAUGGAGGGGGAUAACUACUGGAAACGGUAGCUAAUACCGCAUACCAUCGGAUGUGCCCAGAUGGGAUUAGCUAGUAGGUGGGGUAAUGGCUCACCUAGGCGACGAUCCCUAGCUGGUCUGAGAGGAUGACCAGCCAACCUGGAACUGAGACACGGUCACGAAUCCUACGUGAGGCGGCAGUGGGGAAUAUUGCAAAAGGGGGGCAAUCCGGAUGCAGCCAUGCCGGGGGUAUGAAGAAGGCCUUCGGGUUGAAAAGUACUUUCAGCGGGGAGGCGUUACCCGAAGAAGAAGCACCGGCUAACUCCGUGCCAGCAGCCGCGGUAAUUC